GGCUCGUUCGUCUAUCGGUUUGAGGAUGACGCCCUUUCAAGGCGUCGAGGCGGGUUCGACUCCCGCACGAGCCG
rnacentral:tRNA from 1 species